ensembl:snoRNA
UGGAUCAAUGAUGACCACUGGUGGCGCAUAAGUCAAAAAUGAUGACUGCAGGUCUGGAAGUCUGAGGUCCAA